rnacentral:tRNA from 1 species
GCGGGCGUAGUUCAGUGGCAGAACGCCACCCUUCCUGGGUGGAAACGUCGGUUCGAUUCCCACCGCCCGCUCCA